CUAACUAUAACUUAGAUGCGUCAGUUUGAAGUGCCUGUGGGAGCCUAGUGGCUGAGCCCAGCAAUGAUGGGAACUUAAGGCAAGAAGGAGCACCCAGGACAGACAGCCUUUGCACCAUCCUAGCAAGACAACUCUACAAGAAGCAGAAUCUCCCAGCUCCCUGGUACAUGUGGCCAAGUCUCUAACUGCUGACCAAUGGGAAAUAGAUGAAACUGUCGUGCCUUUUCAGUAAACUUCCUCAAAGAAAGCGGAAGCAUACCCUUUGCCCCCUUCUUCUCCAUCCUUUCGUCCUUUCUGCUGCUUGGACCUUGGAUGUGAUGGCUUGAACUCUAACCACCAUCUUGGACCCUGAGGACACAGGCCUCACUCGAGAGGUGGCAGAGCAGUGAGUUGAAGGAUCCAAGACUUUGUGAAACAGAAUUUCCAUUUGGUCCUGCACUGCCCAACUCCUGCUUGUACCCAAGAGAGAAAUAAAUGUCUGUCUUGUUUGAGCUACUGUAAUUUGGUUCUCUGUUACUUUCAGCCAGAGCUAAUCUUGAUACAGGUUAUCACAGAGACACUUAGCUAAGAGCAAAGGAUAAAACACGGAUCACCAUGUGCCAGCAGCUUCCCAUACCAUGGAGGCUUCUGUUCCUUUAAGAAAACAAACAAAAAUGGUGCCUCCUUCUCUGUGUUCCUUGUGUAUCUUUAUAGACCCUCCUUUCAUGACAAAAAGCCUGAAGCCCGCAAGUCAGGUGUUGGGUACUCAAUGCCAAUCUAUCGCCAAUAAAGUCAAUAAAACUUA